AUGAGGUUGAAUGUGUUGUCAUGUGCUUACUGGACAUUUGUCUUUAUUCUUUGUCAGCUGCCCACACAACUGAGUCCUGACACCCGACUUCUUUCUUUGGCCAGCACUCAAGCUCCGCACCAAUCGGGCUUCAUUACUCAUCCAAGAUACUCAUUUGGGGACGUGAAUCAUGGUGGUUGUGAACCUAUGCUCUGAGUUCAUAAAGAACACUAGGUUCAGAAACCAAGGCUACCAAUUAGCUCUGUGACCUGUGGCACAUUUAACCUCUCCAAGCUUCUGUCCCCUUAUCAAGAUAAUCCUACCUCACAGCUCAUGAUUGAUAGGAAGAUGAAAGCGAGAAAGUUCUUACAGCGCACGGCCAUAAGGACUGGCACACGCAUUUUCGGUGUGUGUUCUCUUUUCUAUUACUACAGCACACAGCUGCUUUUUGAAGUCUUUCAUAAAGUUCGGAAAACAGUUCUGGGCAGCCAAGCAUGCAGUCAGUUUGGAUCGGAGGCAGAGUAAAUCUGCUUCUUCUGAUGAGACCUGGGAAUGCGUACUCAGGAUGCCAGCAGCUCAGACAUGUAAU
rnacentral:lncRNA from 12 species